rnacentral:rRNA from 1 species
AUUGAACGCUGGCGGCAUGCCUUACACAUGCAAGUCGAACGGCAGCACGGGAGCAAUCCUGGUGGCGAGUGGCGAACGGGUGAGUAAUAUAUCGGAACGUGCCCAGUCGUGGGGGAUAACGUAGCGAAAGCUACGCUAAUACCGCAUACGAUCUACGGAUGAAAGCGGGGGAUCGCAAGACCUCGCGCGAUUGGAGCGGCCGAUAUCAGAUUAGCUAGUUGGUGGGGUAAAAGCUCACCAAGGCGACGAUCUGUAGCUGGUCUGAGAGGACGACCAGCCACACUGGAACUGAGACACGGUCCAGACUCCUACGGGAGGCAGCAGUGGGGAAUUUUGGACAAUGGGCGCAAGCCUGAUCCAGCAAUGCCGCGUGCAGGAUGAAGGCCUUCGGGUUGUAAACUGCUUUUGUACGGAGCGAAACGGUGAGCUCUAAUAAAGCUUGCUAAUGACGGUACCGUAAGAAUAAGCACCGGCUAACUACGUG